AUAAUAUUCGUCGACGGACUAGGGACUGUAUAGAUACGACGAAGAUAAGCUUCAUAUUGUUUCUGAAAAAUAACGAGUUAUUCUACAAUGCAAUUGUAAAAGACAAAGAAACUCACUCUAAGAACAUUAAGUCUAUCUGUUUUUGCAGUCAUCAAUGCAAGGCUAUUAUCUACUCUAUCCAAUGCUUCAAGAAGUUUAUGAUUUCUUUCAUCUCUUGUACGUUGUUCUUCUAAAAACUCUAUAUAUCUUAAACGCAAUCGAUUUAUACACGCAUCAUGCCUGAAAUAUCAAUGAUUUCAUAAUUUUUCCAAAAUAAAAUCCCCAUUUCUUUAAAAAAAAGAAAUCCAUUUUAAAUAAUAUUACCAGAGUAAAAAAUGAAUAAUCGUGAGCAAAAGGAUCUUUCAUUUUUGUUAAUUAUAUCUUAUAUAGCAUAGUUUGUUGAAUGUGUCCGCAUAAUCGAAGGACAUUGCGUGACAUUUGCAAAAGAUCAUGUCUUUCCUAUAGAUACAUAUCUAUAUAUGUAUAAUUGUGUACUAGUAUGUAUAUCAAAAUAAGAAGACUCCAGUUACAAAUCCUGUACUACUAUAUCCGAUCUAUGUUUACAUACAUAGGUUAAGUUAAGGCACAAGUGUUAAAGUAGAAAACGUAAACACAAAGAAUAAGGAAUUUAUAUUCCAAAUCAAUUGAAAGACAAGGUUAGUAUUGAUUGUGACAUUUCUCAAAACUAGGUCGCUUCUAAAUCAAUACAUAAUCUCCGAAAUUCUAUCGUGUUAUUAUUACGUAAAACGGAAAUAAAAUCAAUAACAACAGCUACUUGCCAAUGUAUGUGUAUGUCUAAACAUAUUCUUAAUCACUUUUCAAUAGCAUAUAUAGUGAACACAAUAAAUCAAUUUACUGCUUUAAGAAUUUAAGAAAAUCUGUAUAAAAUAUAUGUAUAUAAAAAUAAGAAAUUGAAGAAUAAUACUUUUAAAUAAAUAACUUUCUUUUAAA